UAAUCAAAGGGCAUCAGAAUAUUCGGCGAGCAUCCACUUUGUAGCGCGUUACACAUUUCGCUGGCACACGAUAUAACUUAUAUGGUAAUACAUAUGGUACCUCUUGGCGUCGGCUUUACGUAUAUGUUAUGCGUACGUAACCUUGUUGUGACCGCGCGUCGCGCGAUCGUGACUCGAGCGGUAGGAGGGGCCGGCGCCGCGGGGGUGGGUGAAGACGCGCGCCGUUCCGAUCGAGUGUCGUCGCGUUACUUUUCACGAUGCGAUCGCGGCGGGUAUUAUAGGGAAGAGCGAACGCGGCGGUUUUCCACGAGCAAUUAUCUAUUGUCAGCCAGCGCGCGAUUUCCGGACUUUCACGAUCACUGAUCCGUACAAGACUCGGCGAAUAUAUUUAUCACGACAGCUGGUGUGAUCCUUGCUCCGCUCGGUCGAUUCGUUCGAAGGAGAAAUCGAAACGAUAAGAGGCGAUCGAAAUUGUACAUGUGUGUGCAAGGACGGAAUCUGAGAGGAGGAGGAGGGCCUGGGAGGCUUGAUCGGGCGACGGCGGAGCAACCAUAACAUGAACAUAAUUUCAACGUAUAAACGCAACUCCGCCGCUGUGCAUCGUACCUUUCGAUCUUCGUGGGAGGCUGCGCAGCGCGUAAAGAUAAACAUCCAUACGCAAGAAUAACAUCUUCCAGAUCCCUCUAAUCACAACACUCCGAGGAUACCCCGUACAUAAGCGAGGAACACGGGUAAGAAAACACUUUUGAUAGAGCCAUCGGAAAAAUGAGAGAGCGACCUGGCAAUUCAUCAAGGGAGAUCAUUAUUCACUGAAACAGAGAAAACUAGAUCGCGCAUGUAACAAUGCGGUGAAUAAUUCAUAACUUUUGGAAAAAUAAAAAAAGAGCUGUGUGCAUUAUUCGAAAA